UACGUAGGAGGCAAGCGUUGUCCGGAUUUACUGGGCGUAAAGAGCGUGUAGGCGGCCAAACAGGUCCGUUGUGAAAACUGGAGGCUCAACUUCCAGACGUCGACGGAAACCGUGUGGCUAGAGUCCGGAAGAGGAGAGUGGAAUUCCUGGUGUAGCGGUGAAAUGCGCAGAUAUCAGGAAGAACACCAAUGGCGAAGGCAGCUCUCUGGGACGGUACUGACGCUGAGACGCGAAAGCGUGGGGAGCGAACAGG
rnacentral:rRNA from 1 species